rnacentral:lncRNA from 1 species
AAUUGGCAAACAUUUUCUCUAAAGCUCAACACAGUAAAUAUUUUAAGCUUUACAGGGCCAUACCAAACAGGUGCUGGACCAGACCUGGACUCCCUGGGGCCACAGAGCUUCAUUUGAACUAAGUAGAAGACUGCUCUGGUUAGGGAGGCAAUCGGUAAAGAAAAUGAAGCAUCCAUCUAGCAUCAUCCCACUGGGAGGAAAGAAGGAGACCAAAAGAAGGUAAACAAUAGCAAAAAAAUCUCUGAAGGAGUAAAUCAAGAUGGAGUUGAUGGAUAAGGAGGAAUAAAACUACUCCAAUUAUCUGGAACUUACACUAAAUGAAAAGCAAGUCUCCAAGAUAGAAGCUGAGCAUGACAAACAAAUGCUGACAAUAUCAGGUAGUGCUUCAGUUCAACUAUGAGGGAUUCUUUCUCCCACAACUUCCCUACUCCAGGAACUUGGAAAGUGGAUCAUCUCUGACAGCUAAAUUCCAAAACAAACACUUAGCAGAUUGGAACAUAAUUA